UCCCCACCCCACCCCACCCCACCCCCACCCGCCAAGCCCAAGUGUGUGCUCCUUGCCCACCCUCGGUUUCUGGUGUCUGCGGGUGGGUGUUUAGAUAGCGCCAUCCGUUGCGUCGUUUAGAGUCCACCAACAGGUGAUGUCCUAGGGCACUUGUCUUUUUCCUUUCUGGCUUCCUUCGCUUAGCCUGAGGGUCUCUCGUUCCAGCCCCGCGGCGGCAGAUGGCACUCGUUCUGCCGCUUUUUCCUGGCUGUGUGCGAUGCCAUCGCAUAGAUGUCCCCGGGUCUGCGAAGUGCACUCACCUGUCAGUGGACCUUUAGGUGGCUUCCAGAUCUUGGCUCUGCCCCGCGGCGGCAGAUGGCACUCGUUCUGCCGCUUUUUCCUGGCUGUGUGCGAUGCCAUCGCAUAGAUGUCCCGGGUCUGCGAAGUGCACUCACCUGUCAGUGGACCUUUAGGUGGCUUCCAGAUCUUGGCUCUGCCCCGCGGCGGCAGAUGGCACUCGUUCUGCCGCUUUUUCCUGGCUGUGUGCGAUGCCAUCGCAUAGAUGUCCCCGGGUCUGCGAAGUGCACUCACCUGUCAGUGGACCUUUAGGUGGCUUCCAGAUCUUGGCUCUGCCCCGCGGCGGCAGAUGGCACUCGUUCUGCCGCUUUUUCCUGGCUGUGUGCGAUGCCAUCGCAUAGAUGUCCCCGGCUGCGAAGUGCACUCACCUGUCAGUGGACCUUUAGGUGGCUUCCAGAUCUUGGCUCUGGUGAGUAGUGCGGCGACAGACAGAGGGGUGCCCGGGUCUGCUUCCGGGAAAGUUUGGUCCCGGUGAAAUGGAGCUG
rnacentral:lncRNA from 1 species